GAGAGCUGUAUGAUUGGAGACAAUCACGUACAGUUCGGAGGGGGGCGGAGCGCCGAGAGACGUUCUAGGCCCACCCUAC
rnacentral:ncRNA from 1 species